GAAAUGCGAUAAGUAAUGUGAAUUGCAGAAUUCAGUGAAUCAUCGAAUCUUUGAACGCACAUUGCGCCCGCCAGUAUUCUGGCGGGCAUGCCUGUUCGAGCGUCAUUUCAACCAUCAAGCCCCGCGCUUGUGUUGGGGACCUGCGGCUGCCGCAGGCCCUGAAAACCAGUGGCGGGCUCGCUGUCACACCGGGCGUAGUAGAUUUUAUCUCGCUCAGGGCGUGCUGCGGGUUCCGGCCGUUAAAAAGCCUUUUUUACCCAAGGUUGACCUCGGAUCAGGUAGGGAGACCCGCUGAACUUAAGC
rnacentral:misc_RNA from 1 species